UACGGGGGGAGCAAGCGUUGUUCGGAUUUACUGGGCGUAAAGGGCGCGUAGGCGGCCCGGCGCGUCCGCGGUGAAAGCUCCCGGCUCAACUGGGAGAGGUCCGCGGAAACGGUCGGGCUGGAGCAAGGUAGGGGGUCGUGGAAUUCCCGGUGUAGUGGUGGAAUGCGUAGAGAUCGGGAGGAACACCAGUGGCGAAGGCGGCGACCUGGACCUGUGCUGACGCUGAGGCGCGAAAGCGUGGGGAGCGAUCCGG
rnacentral:rRNA from 1 species